rnacentral:lncRNA from 1 species
CCAGAGAAGGCUUUUGAGGAAGAUUCCUCAUCUCAUCCAGAGAAAUUUUUGCAGAAGUAAUGCAAUCGUCAAGAGCACACUCCCUAUAAAGUCAUCAAACAGGGAAGAUUAUCUCACAGGAAAGAUGACCAGAGCUGACACCACACCCAGAACCCAGAUGGUUUUAUCACAGUCUAAGGUCUGUUCUUAGGCAAAUUCAUCUUCUGUAAAAGUAAUUCACUCUUGCUGGGCAGGUGGUGCAUACCUGUAAUCUCAGCAGCUUGGGGGGCUGAGGCAGGAGGAUUGCAAGCACAAAGCCAGCCUCAGCAAUUUAGCAAGGUCCUGAGCAAUUUAGGGAGACCUUGUCUCAAAAUAAAAAAUAAAAACAGGCUAGUGAUGUGGCUUAGUGGUUAAAAGCCCUUGAGUUCAAUCCCUGGUAUCAACAACAACAAUAACAAAGAUUUACUCUUCCUCUAUUUCCACUACUAAGAGGGUAUAUAAGCUUCUAAUCUCUUUGGGUUUGAGGGAACUCACUUUCAUUUUUGUGAUGUUCCCAUGCUUACGGUGCAAUGAACUCACGUGCCUUUUCUCCUGUUAGAAUGUCCAUUGCCAGUUUAUUCCAAAAGACUCAAUUAUUAAACCUUUAGAAGGUGGAGGGGAAGUUUCUUUUGCCCCAUACAUACCUUUUCUGUUCUUCUAAAAAUCCUUCCUUGAGAAGCUCUUCAUAUCAUUCUUGAGUUGCCUUUGACUUCACAUGUAAAAAAUAUUGUCAUGAACCCGAUGAUAAAAUACUGUUUAUAUUUUGUUUUUCAGUUAAGGAAAAGAGUGUUGGUGUUGGGGUGUUCCUUGGCAAUACCAACCAAGAAAAAUAACAACAACAACAAAAGCCUAAAACUCUUUUGAGGAAAUCUGGAAUAGCAGAUGCUCUGGUUUGGAUGUGCUGGAGUUCAUCCCCCUAACACUUCAUGUAUAAGAAGCUUGGACUCUGGUGUGGCAGUGUUGGAAGGUGGUAGCCCCUUAAAGAGGUGGGGUGUAGUGGGAGGUGAUUAGAUCAUCGGGAGUGCUGCCUUCAGAAUGGAUUACUGUAGCUUUUAUGGGACCCCAUUUAGUUCCUGUGAGAGGGGGCUAUUAGAAAAGAAUAGGUCCUGGUCACUAGCUUCUACAUCAUGAGGCUAUCUGCCACGGGACCUUCACCCGAGCCAAGCAGAUUCUGCACCAUGCUCUUG